CCUAAGAAAAAAACUACUGCAGGGGCCGUGCUCCGGCUUCCCUCUUCCUCGCCGGCCGCCGACACAGGCAGACGAGAUGAGAGGCUACCCCCAGCGCCCCGCCACGGCGCCACCCUCCGUCUCCUUAGCCCGGCACCCUAGCUCUCUCUCCUUGGCCAGUGGUGCCUACCGGGGCAAGCACCAACGCGGCUGGCGACAUAGGUGGAGGACCUCAACGCCAUUCUCUCCUCCCGAGGCGGCUGGCGGGGCGGAGGAGGCCUAGGCUCCUCCUCCCUCUCUCAAGGUGACACGGUAAUGGGAGGAGCCGACCUAGCCAUCUACCCCUUGAUGCUCCACCUCUGGUGAGCUCUCUCUCUCUCUUUCUCUCUCUCUCUUGACGGGCGACGAACAGGUUGCGAGUUCGUUCGACCAGUGGAUGAGCUCCAUGAGAGGCACUCCGGCGGCCGCACGUCACCGCGCUAGAUUCCUCCCCAUUCCAAGGCCGGCGCUCUUCUCUCCGUGGCCGUCGUGUCGCUGCCCUGCUUGAGCUCUUCCCUCUUUGACCCCCUUUUCUCGGAGGGUGAUUGUCCACGGACAAAAAGCAGAAGGAGGGUGGUGGCGGUGCAAAUUCCAAUCAGUACGUAUGUGGUGUGAUCGUCCAUUGAGAACACGAGCUGAGAUGGUGUUCUCAAGGUUUGCAUGGGAACUGUUCAAUUUUUCCUGGACCCUUUCUCUUUAAUCGAUGGGCAGGGUUCAUCUGUUUGUUGGCCUUUUCUGGGUGAUAAUCCUCCACCGUAUCUGCAAAUUCAGAGCUCUUGGGUUCACUCUGAAAUUUGUACCGAUACUACUCCUGAUUUGUUUCUGAUUCUUUUCAUCUUUUGUAUUUCUUUCAGGUUUGCAUGGGAACUGUUCAAUUGUUCCUGGACCCUUUCUCUUUAAUCGAUGGGCAGGGUUCAUCUGUUUGUUGGCCUUUUCUGGGUGAUAAUCCUCCACCGUAUCUGCAAAUUCAGAGCUCUUGGGUUCGCUCUGAAAUUUGUACCGAUACAGAUGUAGACGAAUGCUAUUGUGGGGCAACCAUUAUCUCCAUACGGUGCACUUGAAUAUGUUGAUCAAGAAACAAGGGCAAUGGAGGAUCCAUCUGAUUUUACAUGCAUUGUGCGUUCCAAACAUUAUAGACUAUACUAAUAAUACCAAUCCCAGAGAAGAUGGUAUUAAAGUUCCUGACACUAGCUUAUCAGAAUGCUCAUCUGUACCACAUAUACAACUACUUCUUUGUUCCUCAAUAAGUAUACUAUUUUUUUUGGAUAAGGCUGAAUAAGCAUAUGUAUUCUCCAUCCUUUUUUGGAUAUGCUUUUCAGUUUGGAGUUGGUAACUAAGAAGUUCGCAGUUAAUUAAAUUAAUAACCAGGAAGUUGCCCUCUGCUUUUCAGAUAAAAUCACCAUUUAUAAUGGCGCAGAUCUACUUCAAAUGUACACUCUUCUGGAGCAAGAAAAGUGUGCUGGAUGGUUCACCUUUGUAUGGAUAGAGAUACAGAAAGAAGUUGUUUUAGAUAUGUUUAUGUGUUCUAAUACAGACAAUUUGUCUCUAAGCUUCCUUAGAGAAAGUUCUUUCUGAGUACGUUAAUCAGACAUUGUGCUUUCGGCAGGUAAUAGUUGCUGCUUGCCGUUGGCUCUGGUUUUGGUACCCCAUUGCGCUGGGAGCGACAUCUCUCGCUCCUACUGGGAGCAUUGCGCAAUCUACUGGUUUCUGGGCAUGGCAGAGUGACUACAUUUCUCCCAAUCAUGAUGCAGAUAGCGUAUCACCUGAAGCUCACUCAAGAAAGAGAUAAGAGAUGGCAAUAUGCAAGAUCUUGUGGGGAGUUUGACCACGAAGUUUCCGGCUGCUCUUUUGACUAUCUAGGCUAAAGAUGACGCAGCAAGUUUUCUUUUCCUGCAUGAAUUAUAAGUUAUUCCAUUUACAGCAGUUCAGAUUCUUUACAAAGAAUCAAUUUUGCAUGGGGAAAGAUGAUACCGUUGCUGCUACAUUUUUUUGCAUGCUCUUUUGGCAAACUUGCAAUGAUAUAAACAAGAAUGUUACUUAUUAUAUUGCGGUACUUAACUUGCAAAUAUUGUUUACCUUUUGCCUCAACGAGUGUGACCAGCACCACGUGGCGUACAAAAGAUGAAAAAGGCGAGGAAAUAUCUGAAACUAGAAACAUAGUAUAUCAAGAGAUAGGUUUCUGUUUGUGACAACAUGAAAAUCCUGUUUUUCUACUUCAGGUAAAUAUACAUUCUAUGACCUCAAGUGUAAGAUACACAUAUGUUACUUUUAACUAGUUGUCUUCUCUCUGUUCUAAUAAAUUGUUUUUUCUCUAAAUCACUUGCACUUCGACCAGCUGAGGUGAUUACCAUUAGUGUACUUUUUGUUCCAAUAAGAAUAUCUUUUAUUGGCACUGCAAGUAUGCAUGUUCUGAUUAUGUGUGGAAUCUAUGGCUUUCUUAAUUAAUCAUCUUCUCUGUAUAUUGAUGCUCUGUCUAUUUUUUACAACACUUGCGAUUUAAUCAGUCGAAGGGCUACUGUUAGUGCUUCACUUAAAUAAUAUGUACCACUUUUGUGUAUGGAAACAAGUCAGGUACUUGCGGAUAAUGGAGGAAACUAGGGAAGCUAUGGGCAGGGAGUAAGGUAGAGUGCAAGGAUGCGUCUUCUGAAUCCACUAAGAUUUGUUAAUUGCAUAGGACAUAUCUUCAGAAAAUAUGAAUUCUUCAUACCAUGUUAACAAGUAUCGAAAUUCUAAAUUUUCCAUAUACUGACGAAGCUUAUGCAUGAGUGGGAGCUACCAACAAAGCAUGCCCUACGUUUUGGGCAUUCAAUCUGGAAGGAGCACUAAAAAAAGACUAAUGAAGUUGAUAAACCCUGGUGCUUGGGAAAUGGCGUUUCUUUGUUGUCCACUCUCUGUUGAAAAAAUGAAGUUUGUUGGUCCUUUUUAUGCUCAAGUUUUUCAUGCCCAGAAAGUUUAGGUUGGUUGCUCUGAAGUAUUGCACUGUUCUAUCUGUGCUUUCUUAUCUAAUUGCCGUUGCACACUGCUCUAUUUUAUGUACUCAAUUUAGAUGGAAAAGCCAUAUAGUCGGCAGCAGUCAAUAAAUAAAAUAGGAGUAUAUCAAAAUCUGCUCUUCCUAUUUUC